rnacentral:rRNA from 1 species
AUUGAACGCUGGCGGCAGGCUUAACACAUGCAAGUCGAACGAGUGGCGGACGGGUGAGUAAUGCCUGGGAAACUGGCUGAUGGAGGGGGAUAACUACGGGAAACGGUAGCUAAUACCGCAUACCAUCGGAUGUGCCCAGAUGGGAUUAGCUAGUUGGUGGGGUAACGGCUCACCAAGGCGACGAUCCCUAGCUGGUCUGAGAGGAUGACCAGCCACACUGGGACUGAGACACGGUCCAGACUCCUACGGGAGGCAGCAGUGGGGAAUAUUGCGCAAGGGGGGCAAGCCUGACGCAGCCAUGCCGCGUGUAGGAAGAAGGCCUUCGGGUUGUAAAGUUCUUUCAGCGGGGAGGCGUUAACCGCAGAAGAAGCACCGGCUAACUCCGUGCCAGCAGCCGCGGUAAUAC